rnacentral:lncRNA from 1 species
CUAUAGUAACGGUUGUUGUUUGUAUACCUUCAGUUCUUUCAUUACACUGUCUUGCUACUAUAGUUUUGUUGCAUGUAUACUUUCAGUUAUUCAUUACAGUAGCGGUAGUUGUACUUUCUUAUAUAUAUCUCUUUCGUUCCUUAUCGUUGCUACUAUAUUUUCACUGACCCGUACUGUUGUUUAUCUCUUCCUGAUCCGGUGAGUACUCCACGCCUUCGUCGGCUUGCGGUACCCACUGGGAGGGGAGACAUGUUUACAUGUUCUCACCUCCCCCACAAUUUUUUUAGGUAUUGCGGGCGAUGAGGUUGAUACGAGACGUGAGACACGUGGAUAGCUGUCGAUAGAGCUUCUGACUCGGUUUGUGUAGUUUAGUUACUACCUUCGUUAUUUCUGUUGAUAUGACUUAGACAUCUAUAUGGUUCAGUAUUUCAUUAUGUUUAAAUUCAAGAUUUCAGUUGGUUUUCCGAAUGAGAUAAAGAUUUCUGAAUUUUUGUAAAAAGGAAAGGUUUUCUACCCCUCGUAGUAGCGUGUUUUAAAAAGAAAAGGUUUUCGUGUGGAAAAUAGCUUUCAAAAGAGUUUUUUCGUGGUUUUCUUGAAUUAGUAUUUCAAAAUAAGUUUCUGGAUAGAAAACGUUUCAACUAAAUAGUUGUGGAUUUAUAUUCAAAUCUAUGUUUAUGAACCUGUGGUGAAUGGUAUAUGGAUAUUGAAUGUAUGAUGACUUGUAUAUUCAUUUAGUUGUGGUUGUAUCAUGUUUUACAUCUUGUACUUGUGCGACGGCGUGCAAAUACAGGAGAGACUCUGUCCGUGUGAACAGUGGAAUCCCUGUAUUUGUGGUGGAUCUGGCAUACCCUGGGGUCAGGUUUUCAAAAAAAAAAAAUUCUAGUCACUUCCGCUGUAUUUUCAAACUAAAAAGGACCCCGGGGCGUGACAUUGAGAGCUCAAAAUUUCAAAGGUAUCGAAAUAUUUUCAUUUAUAGUUGUAACUAUAUAUAAACAAAGACUCUUGUCCGCAAAAUUUUAUAAAAAAUUUAUAUUUCGCACUAACUUACAUAUAAAAUAUUUAUGAAAUAUUUUAAAACUAACUUUUCUUCGAUUUACAAUA